rnacentral:rRNA from 1 species
UCCUACGGGAGGCAGCAGUGAGGAAUAUUGGGCAAUGGACGGAAGUCCGACCCAGCCAUGCCGCGUGCAGGAUGACUGCCCUAUGGGUUGUAAACUGCUUUUAUACAGGAAGAAACCUUUCCACGUGUGGGAAGCUGACGGUACUGUAAGAAUAAGCACCGGCUAACUCCGUGCCAGCAGCCGCGGUAAU